rnacentral:sRNA from 1 species
GCUUUUCCGCGUCCUCCACCUCGGGAACCCCUGGUGACUUUGUCGCAGCCUCCGUUACCCUGUGAUCUGCAGGUCCUGGGAGACGCACAGCUAAGAUGCCCGGACAUCCUGGAAGCUGGGAAAUGAGAUGGGGUUUCACCAUGUUGGCCAGGCUGAUCUCGAACUCCAGACCUCAGGUGAUCCGCCCGCCUCGGCCUCCCAAAAGUCCUGGGAUUACAGGCGUGAGCCACCGCGCCCGGCCUCUUAGGAACAUUUCUGAAUCUCACACUCGGAGGCUGUCAAAAGUUGGAUAAUUGACUCUCAUAUGUGGGCCUGGUCCACAGGUGAUAUGACUCUUCUUCAGCCUGCACCCUGCCAAAAGAGGAUUGUGAUGUAUCAUUGGACCCAGCACCUAGAUGAUGUAACUCUCAUCUUUUCCCUGGACCUUGCAUAUUUUGGGUGUGAUUGUGACACAUACCUCUGCUCAGAAUGUGAGCGAUUUGACUCUCCUGCCUGGGCCCAGUACACAGAUGGGAUUGUGACAUAUCGCUGGACCCAGUAUGUAGAUCGUGUGACCCUAUACUCUUGCCUUGGUGCU